rnacentral:rRNA from 1 species
UACGUAGGGGGCAAGCGUUGUCCGGAUUUAUUGGGCGUAAAGAGCGUGUAGGCGGCCAGGUAGGUCAGCUGUGAAAACUCGAGGCUCAACCUCGAGACGUCGGUUGAAACCACCUGGCUAGAGUCCGGAAGAGGAGAGUGGAAUUCCUGGUGUAGCGGUGAAAUGCGCAGAUAUCAGGAAGAACACCCUGGCGAAGGCGGCUCUCUGGGACGGUACUGACGCUGAGACGCGAAAAGCGUGGGGGAGCGAACAGG